UACGAGAGGUCCCAAGCGUUGUUCGGAUUCACAUGGGCGUAAAGGGUGCGUAGGUGGUUAGGUAAGUCCGAAUGUGAAAUCUCCGAGGCUCAACCUGGAAAUGGCAUUGGAUACUAUCUAGCUUGAGGGAGUGGGAGGGGGGGACUGGAAUUCUACGGUGUAGCAGUGAAAUGCGUAGAUAUCGAGAGGAACACCAGUGGCGAAGGCGAGUCUCUAGGGCCGAUACUGACGCUGAGGAGCGAAAGCGUGGGGAGCGAACAGG
rnacentral:rRNA from 1 species